GAUGAACGCUGGCGGCGUGCCUAAUACAUGCAAGUCGAGCGAAUGGAUUAAGAGCUUGCUCUUAUGAAGUUAGCGGCGGACGGGUGAGUAACACGUGGGUAACCUGCCCAUAAGACUGGGAUAACUCCGGGAAACCGGGGCUAAUACCGGAUAACAUUUUGAACCGCAUGGUUCGAAAUUGAAAGGCGGCUUCGGCUGUCACUUAUGGAUGGACCCGCGUCGCAUUGGCUAGUUGGUGAGGUAACGGCUCGCCAAGGCAACGAUGCGUAGCCGACCUGAGGGGGUGAUCGGCCACACUGGGACUGAGACACGGCCCAGACUCCUACGGGAGGCAGCAGUAGGGAAUCUUCCGCAAUGGACGAAAGUCUGACGGAGCAACGCCGCGUGAGUGAUGAAGGCUUUCGGGUCGUAAAACUCUGUUGUUAGGGAAGAACAAGUGCUAGUUGAAUAAGCUGGCACCUUGACGGUACCUAACCAGAAAGCCACGGCUAACUACGUGCCAGCCGCCGCAGUAA
rnacentral:rRNA from 1 species